rnacentral:lncRNA from 1 species
UAAUGAUAAAGAAUCCCGCCAUCUUAGUCGAGGUUGUCAACAAUUCAAUGUCACAAAAUGCGUGUAUUUCGUUGAUGGAUUUUACUGCCACGGAAAAGUUGAAUUCUUCUAAACACGGGACGGUAGCAGUAUUUACGCUGCAGUAUGAUAUCAAAGCUAGGCUACUUUUGUCUGACAGGUAUUUUCUGCCGCGAUUCCGUGCUAGUGGGAACCAACUUUUAGUCGCAGUCAUCGAGUUACGGUGACAGUAGUCUCCAUAUUUUUAUAUUUAAUCAUUACUUUUCAUUAUUUACUUUAAUCAUUAUUU